rnacentral:ribozyme from 13 species
GAGAAAGAGAAAGAGAAACAGAAGAAGAAAAAGAGAAAGAUUGAAAGAAUGGCUGUUGAUAGGAAUUUGGGACUUAAAGUGAAUGCUUAUUUAUUGGCAGUCUUUGGAUUAGGGGCUUUGCUCUUUCCUCAUGCUCUUUUGUUUCUUUCUCACGACAAAUCUGAUGAACUCAUGAGGGAAGUUCAUGCUGUUUUGAGAGGA